rnacentral:tRNA from 1 species
UCCUCGGUAGUAUAGUGAUUAGUAUCCGCGUCUGUCACAUGCGAGACCCGGGUUCAAUUCCUGGCCGGGGAG